ACGAAGUCUUCGGACUGAGUGGCGGACGGGUGAGUAACGCGUGAGAAUCUGCCUAGAGGUCGGGGACAACCAUUGGAAACGAUGGCUAAUACCGGAUAUGCCUUACGGGGUGAAAGAUAAAUUGCCUUUAGAAGAGCUCGCGUCUGAUUAGCUAGUUGGUGAGGUAAGAGCUCACCAAGGCAGCGAUCAGUAGCUGGUCUGAGAGGAUGACCAGCCACACUGGGACUGAGACACGGCCCAGACUCCUACGGGAGGCAGCAGUGGGGAAUUUUCCGCAAUGGGCGAAAGCCUGACGGAGCAAGACCGCGUGAGGGAGGAAGGCUCUUGGGUUGUAAACCUCUUUUGUCAGGGAAGAACAAAAUGACGGUACCUGACGAAUCAGCAUCGGCUAACUCCGUGCCAGCAGCCGCGGUAAUACGGAGGAUGCAAGCGUUAUCCGGAAUUAUUGGGCGUAAAGCGUCCGCAGGUGGCUGAUCAAGUCUGCGGUCAAAGACCGGGGCUUAACCCUGGAAAGGCCGUGGAAACUGAUAGAGCUAGAGUACCGUAGGGGUAGAGGGAAUUCCCGGUGUAGCGGUGAAAUGCGUAGAGAUCGGGAAGAACAUCGGUGGCGAAAGCGCUCUACUGGACGGUGACUGACACUCAGGGACGAAAGCUAGGGGAGCGAAUGGGAUUAGAUACCCCAGUAGUC
rnacentral:rRNA from 1 species